rnacentral:rRNA from 1 species
GCAUAUCAAUAAGCGGAGGAAAAGAAACCAACAGGGAUUGCCUUAGUAGCGGCGAGUGAAGCGGCAAAAGCUCAAAUUUGAAAUCUGGCACUUUCAGUGUCCGAGUUGUAAUUUGAAGAAGGUAUCUUUGGGUCUGGCUCUUGUCUAUGUUUCUUGGAACAGAACGUCACAGAGGGUGAGAAUCCCGUGCGAUGAGAUGUCCCAGACCUAUGUAAAGUUCCUUCGAAGAGUCGAGUUGUUUGGGAAUGCAGCUCUAAGUGGGUGGUAAAUUCCAUCUAAAGCUAAAUAUUGGCGAGAGACCGAUAGCGAACAAGUACAGUGAUGGAAAGAUGAAAAGAACUUUGAAAAGAGAGUGAAAAAGUACGUGAAAUUGUUGAAAGGGAAGGGCUUGAGAUCAGACUUGGUAUUUUGUAUGUUACUCUCUCGGGGGUGGCCUCUACAGUUUACCGGGCCAGCAUCAGUUUGAGCGGUAGGAUAAGUGCAAAGAAAUGUGGCACUGCUUCGGUAGUGUGUUAUAGUCUUUGUCGAUACUGCCAGCAUUAGACUGAGGACUG